rnacentral:rRNA from 1 species
CAGUAGCCACGGUAAUACGUAGGUCCCGAGCGUUGUCCGGAUUUAUUGGGCGUAAAGCGAGCGCAGGCGGUUAGAUAAGUCUGAAGUUAAAGGCUGUGGCUUAACCAUAGUACGCUUUGGAAACUGUUUAACUUGAGUGCAAGAGGGGAGAGUGGAAUUCCAUGUGUGGCGGUGAAAUGCGUAGAUAUAUGGAGGAACACCGGUGGCGAAAGCGGCUCUCUGGCUUGUAACUGACGCUGAGGCCCGAAAGCGUGGGGAGCAAACAGGAUUAGAUACCCCUGUAGUCCCUGUCUCUUAUACA